rnacentral:rRNA from 1 species
AGCAGCCGCGGUAAUUCCAGCUCCAAUAGCGUAUAUUAAAGUUGUUGCAGUUAAAAAGCUCGUAGUUGAAUUUCGGGGUUAGUAGAUUGGUCAUGCCUCUGGUAUGUACUGGUCUCACUGAUUCCUCCUUCCUGAUGAACCUUAAUGCCAUUAAUUUGGUGUUGCGGGGAAUUUGGACUGUUACUUUGAAAAAAUUAGAGUGUUUAAAGCAAGCUGACGCUUGAAUACAUUAGCACGGAAUAAUGAAAUAGGACGUUCGAUCCUAUUUUGUUGGUUUCUAGGAUUGACGUAAUGAUUAAUAGGGAUAGUUGGGGGCAUUAGUAUUCAAUUGUCAGAGGUGAAAUUCUUGGAUUUAUUGAAGACUAACUACUGCGAAAGCAUUUGCCAAGGAUGUUUUCAUUAAUCAAGAACGAAAGUUAGGGGAUCGAAGACGAUCAGAUACCGUCGUAGUCUUAACCAUAAACUAUGCCGACUAGGGAUCGGAUGAUGUUAAUUUUUUAAUGACUCA